GACGAACGCUGGCGGCGUGCCUAAUACAUGCAAGUAGAACGCUGAAGAGAGGAGCUUGCUCUUCUUGGAUGAGUUGCGAACGGGUGAGUAACGCGUAGGUAACCUGCCUUGUAGCGGGGGAUAACUAUUGGAAACGAUAGCUAAUACCGCAUAACAAUGGAUGACCCAUGUCAUUUAUUUGAAAGGGGCAAAUGCUCCACUACAAGAUGGACCUGCGUUGUAUUAGCUAGUAGGUGAGGUAACGGCUCACCUAGGCGACGAUACAUAGCCGACCUGAGAGGGUGAUCGGCCACACUGGGAAUGGGACACGGCCCAGACUCCUACGGGAGGCAGCAGUAGGGAAUCUUCGGCAAUGGGGGCAACCCUGACCGAGCAACGCCGCGUGAGUGAAGAAGGUUUUCGGAUCGUAAAGCUCUGUUGUAAGUCAAGAACGAGUGUGAGAGUGGAAAGUUCACACUGUGACGGUAGCUUACCAGAAAGGGACGGCUAACUACGUG
rnacentral:rRNA from 1 species